GUGGGGGAAUCUUGCAAAUGAGAUGCCUCUAAGAUUCACUCACUGGGAAAUGGCAGCCUGGGGUGGGGCGAGUGGGGAAGGAGGGACUUCUGGGGAGGCCUCUCACCAUGCUGGGCUGAGGCAGGGGUGGCGAUGGCUUUGACGGACCCAGGGGGCCAGAGUGAUCUGGAAAAGACCGCAUGUGUUGUGAGUUGGUGGGUUCCUCCCAGGCUCGUCUUGAACUUUUGGGCUCAAGCAAUCCACCCGCCUCAGCCUCCCAAAGUCUUGGAAUCACAGGCUUAAACCACUGCACUCGGCCAAGAGGGCAUUCUUAAUAUGCAGCAAAAAAAGAAGAAAAGAAAAGAAAAG